rnacentral:misc_RNA from 1 species
UAGUUGAAGGUACCUGUUCUUUUGAAUGCUUUCGACAAGGCUGCCAGCGGGCGGGGUGAUUGCAAGGCGGUCUGGUGAUGAGGAGUGAGUCAACGUACUCUCUGCACCACCCCAGUUACAUGCGCCACACACCGUCUAUCUUCCCUUUACCCCGUUACGUCUUCCUCAGAUCUCGAGGAAUCGAGUCGAUGUAAGCCGUUGCUUACACACCGCCCCACUGCUUAUCCAUCGCUGCAGGGGUUUCUAGGGUGACGGAAAAGGUAGGGAGGGGAGGGGGGAGGUUGAUGCGUAAGUCUGCCUAUCCUUGCGUAGUGUUACCCGAUGAGGACUUGAAAGCAACAAAAUUCUCAUGGAUGGCUUUGCCAGCGCAAGGAGGAAUCGAGAGCGCGAGUGUAGGGAUAUCAGAUCGGUAUACUCACCCACAGAAAUAGGAAACUUCUCCGCUAGGCCAAGCUGGGAACAUGUGUUGGAAUGCGUCAUGCUCAUCGUUUUUGACAUCAUUCUUUGUCUCUCCUUGCCUUUCUGCCUUUUGUGUGUGUGCCUUCUUUGUUGCCGAUGCUCUCCUCGUGCUCCCUGCUUACUCUCCAUUCCCGUGGCAUGGCCUCCACACGGCACACGCCUGUGCAG